rnacentral:lncRNA from 1 species
AGAGAUAGAAUACAUUUAUAAGGUCGGCAACCUAUACGGCUACUCUAGAGCUACCUUACGAAGCUUGUAUCAGAAGGUGAAACGGUCCGUAGAGAAUGAAGGCACUGCACGUGGAGGUGACAACAAUGCCAAAUAUGAAGCCGUCCCCUAUGCGAUGAGAGGAUCCAGGGUAGUCAAAGGCGUAGUGAAAAACGCGGAUAAAAGGACCGCAUAUAGGCGAUACCCCACUCUAUAUAACUGGCUCCGAAAUGAAAAAGAUCAAAUCCAACCAGCAGAUAGGUCGGGAGUGUAUAAGAUACCGGUGUUCGAUAAUGCCACAGGUGACGAAGCCGUCUAUGUAGGAGUCACUGCCAGGACACUUGACCAGC